rnacentral:rRNA from 1 species
CCCGUAGUAAUUCUAGAGCUAAUACAUGCAAAAAAUUCCGACUCACGAAGGAAUGUAUUUAUUAGAUAAAAAACCAAUGCACCCUCUGGGUGGUUUCUGGUGACUCAUAAUAACUGAUCGAAUCGCAUGCCCUUGUGGCGGCGAUAGUUCAUUCAAAUUCCUGCCCUAUCAGCUUUCGACGGUAGUGUAGUGGACUACCGUGGCAUUAACGGGUGACAGAGAAUUAGGGUUCGAUUCCGGAGAGGGAGCCUGAGAAAUGGCUACCACAUCCAAGGAAGGCAGCAGGCGCGCAAAUUACCCAAUCCUGACACAGGGAGGUAGUAACAAGAAAUAACAAUACUGGGCCUUCACAGGUCUGGUAAUUGGAAUGAGUACAAUUUAAAUCCCUUAACGAGGAACAAUUGGAGGGCAAGUCUGGUGCCAGCAGCCGCGGUAAUUCCAGCUCCAAUAGCGUAUAUUAAAGUUGUUGUGGUUAAAAAGCUCGUAGUUGAACCUUGGGCCUGGCUGGCCGGUCCGCCUCACCGCGUGUACUGGUCCGGCCGGGCCUUUCCCUCUGUGGAACCCCAUGCCCUUCACUGGGUGUGGCGGGGAAACAGGACUUUUACUUUGAAAAAAUUAGAGUGCUCCAGGCAGGCCUAUGCUCGAAUACAUUAGCAUGGAAUAAUAGAAUAGGACGUGUGGUUCUAUUUUGUUGGUUUCUAGGACCGCCGUAAUGAUUAAUAGGGACAGUCGGGGGCAUCAGUAUUCAAUUGUCAGAGGUGAAAUUCUUGGAUUUAUUGAGGACUAACUACUGCGAAAGCAUUUGCCAAGGAUGUUUUCAUUAAUCAGGAACGAAAGUUAGGGGAUCGAAGACGAUCAGAUACCGUCGUAGUCUUAACCAUAAACUAUGCCGACUAGGGAUCGGACGAUGUUAUUUUUGACUCGUUCGGCACCUUACGAGAAAUCAAAGUGCUUGGGCUCCAGGGGGAGUAUGGUCGCAAGGCUGAAACUUAAAGAAAUUGACGGAAGGGCACCACCAGGGGUGGAGCCUGCGGCUUAAUUUGACUCAACACGGGGAAACUCACCAGGUCCAGACACAAUGAGGAUUGACAGAUUGAGAGCUCUUUCUUGAUUUUGUGGGUGGUGGUGCAUGGCCGUUCUUAGUUGGUGGAGUGAUUUGUCUGCUUAAUUGCGAUAACGAACGAGACCUUAACCUGCUAAAUAGCCCGUAUUGCUUUGGCAGUACGCUGGCUUCUUAGAGGGACUAUCGGCUCAAGCCGAUGGAAGUUUGAGGCAAUAACAGGUCUGUGAUGCCCUUAGAU